rnacentral:rRNA from 1 species
AAUGAACGCUGGCGGCAUGCCUUACACAUGCAAGUCGAACGGCAGCAUGACCUAGCUUGCUAGGUUGAUGGCGAGUGGCGAACGGGUGAGUAAUGCAUCGGAACGUGCCUUUUAGUGGGGGAUAACGUAGCGAAAGUUACGCUAAUACCGCAUAUUCUCUGAGGAGGAAAGCAGGGGACCUUCGGGCCUUGCGCUAGAAGAGCGGCCGAUGUCGGAUUAGCUAGUUGGUGGGGUAAAGGCUCACCAAGGCAACGAUCCGUAGCGGGUCUGAGAGGAUGAUCCGCCACACUGGGACUGAGACACGGCCCAGACUCCUACGGGAGGCAGCAGUGGGGAAUGUUGGACAAUGGGCGCAAGCCUGAUCCAGCCAUGCCGCGUGAGUGAAGAAGGCCUUCGGGUUGUAAAGCUCUUUCGGCUGGGAAGAAAUCGCACCCUCUAAUACAGGGUGUGGAUGACGGUACCAGCAUAAGAAGCACCGGCUAACUACGUG